GACAGAGGGUGCGAACGUUGCUCGGAAUCACUGGGCGUAAAGGGCGCGUAGGCGGAGCAGGAAGUCGGAUGUGAAAUCCCUGGGCUCAACCUAGGAACUGCAUUCGAAACUCCUGUUCUCGAGUGAUGGAGAGGGAAGCGGAAUUCCCGGUGUAGAGGUGAAAUUCGUAGAUAUCGGGAGGAACACCAGAGGCGAAGGCGGCUUCCUGGACAUUGACUGACGCUGAGGCGCGAAAGCGUGGGGAGCAAACAGG
rnacentral:misc_RNA from 1 species